ACCCCCAUAGAUCAGUUGGUAGAGCAUUCGCCUAGAUAGCGAAAGGUUCUCAGUUCAAGCCUGGGUGGAGGCA
rnacentral:tRNA from 1 species